rnacentral:rRNA from 1 species
AACGUAGGGGCCGAGCGUUAUCCGGAAUUACUGGGCGUAAAGCGCGUGCAGGCGGCGGUCCAAGUCGUGCGUGAAAGCUCCGGGCUCAACUCGGAGAGGUCGGGCGAAACUGGACGGCUGGAGGCUGGUAGAGGCGAGUGGAAUUCCCGGUGUAGUGGUGAAAUGCGUAGAGAUCGGGAGGAACACCAGAAGCGAAAGCGGCUCGCUGGGCCAGGCCUGACGCUCAGACGCGAAAGCUAGGGGAGAGAACGGGAUUAGAAACCCCUGUAGUCC